rnacentral:rRNA from 1 species
UAGCAAUACGGCAGCGGCAGACGGGAGAGUAACACGUGGGAACGCGCCCUUCGGUUCGGAGUAACUCAGGGAAACUUGGGCUAAUACCGGAUACGCCCUGACGGGGAAAGAUUUAUUGCCGAAGGAACGGCCCGCGUCCGAUUAGCUUGUUGGUGAGGUAACGGCUCACCAAGGCGACGAUCGGUAGCUGGUCUGAGAGGAUGACCAGCCUCACUGGGACUGAGACACGGCCCAGACUCCUACGGGAGGCAGCAGUGGGGAAUAUUGGACAAUGGGCGCAAGCCUGAUCCAGCCAUGCCGCGUGGGUGAUGAAGGCCCUAGGG